rnacentral:rRNA from 1 species
GAUGAACGCUGGCGGCGUGCCUAAUACAUGCAAGUCGAGCGAACGGACGAGAAUCUUGCUUCUCUGACGUUAGCGGCGGACGGGUGAGUAACACGUGGAUACCCUACCUAUCAGACUGGUAUAACUUCGGGAAACCGGAGCUAAUACCGGAUAAUAUCUUGAACCGCAUGGUUCGAAAGUGAAAGACGGUCUUGCUGUCACUUAUAGGUGCAUCCGCGCUGCAUUAGAUAGUUGGUAAGGUAACGGGCUACGAAGGCAACGAUGCAUAGCCGACGUAAGAGAGUGGUAGCCGACACUGGAACGGAGCCAGGGUCAAGAGGACUACGGGAGGGAGCAGUAGGGAAUGUUCGGCCAGGGGCGAAAGCAUGACGCAGCAACGCCGCGUGAGUGAUGGAGGUCUUCGGAGCGUAAAAAUGAGUUACUAGGGAAGAACAUAUGUCUAAGUAACUGUGCACAUAUUGACGGUACCUAGUAAGAAAGCAACGGCUAACUACGUG